CGGCUUAGCUCAGCUGGCUAGAGCGCCUGGUUCAUACCCAGUAGGUCGUAGGUUCAAAUCCCACAGCCG
rnacentral:tRNA from 1 species